AGGGUGUAGUUUCCCUCUUUGUGGUUAGUGGCUUCUACUUCAUUCUGCAGCGCUUCCUCUCCCUGCCCCUCUGACCACCCAGUUCAAGUCAGGCAGAUAACGAAGGCAGGACGGACCCACCAGGCAGCACGCUCCUCUCCUGGACAGGCCAGCACAGAGCUCUGAGCACACCCUGGCCCGCGGUGCCAUGAAUAUCUACUGCCUCAUGAUACCCCUCAUCUCCUCUCUCUUGUCGUCUCAGUGCAACUUUCUUGCAGCUUUCCUCCAGCUGCUACCGUUGGCUGUGUCCUUUGCAGAGCUUCUGCCAGUCCCUAUACUCUCCGCAGACCCCAGACAUGAUGUCUAUUAUGAAGGGGAAUCUGUCACAUUGAAAUGCUUGGCCCUGACAACGAGGAAAAUAGGUGGAUUUCGUUUCUUCAAUCAAACUGGGGAGCAAAUCAACCAAACAGCAUCUUUCUCUGAUCCGACUGCUUUGUUUAAGCUUACAGCUACAAAAGCAUCUUCUGGGGAGUACACGUGCACGUACUUUCUGAAGGAGUCCGGACAAGAAAUUCCUUCCAAUAGGAGCCUUCCUCUUUCACUUAAGGUUCAGGCUGCUCCCAUGGCCCCAACUUUAUCCCUGGAUCCUCAGCAGCAGGUCUAUAGGCCUGGGAACCACGUCAAUCUGCUCUGCUCCUUCCCCUCAUCUCCAGAUGACGUUAAACAAGUCCAGUACUAUGCAGACUCUGGACUUGCAGUCUCCGUCCCAGUAUCGAAUGUGAAAAACUACAGCUUCAACCUCAGGAUCACGGGAGAGGCGGACUCUGGGUCUUACAGUUGUGCCUAUUUUGUAAAUAAGGCUACACGUCCCGUUCGCUCAGAAAGGAGCCGCAGUGUCAUCGUCUAUGUAAAAAAGGGGGGGAGGUUGGAUCAUGGUAAAGGCACCAUUGAUUUCUUCCCAGGCCAUAAAAUCAGCUGGAUUCGAGAGAUCAUUGUUGGGGGUUCAUUCUUUACCAUCAAUGGCCUCAUCUUUUUCUUCUCCCACUGCCUGAUGAAGAGAAGAGAUCUGGAAGAGGGAUUCAGAUGGACUAACGAGAGGAAUGAGAUGAACUAUCCCAUAAAUGUUUUCUCUAUUAGCUAAGGCAAUCCAUUCUCUCAGGCCAUGCCUGAUUCCUCGUUGUCUGCCUCAGAGUCCCCGACAGGCAGAAAUGGUGCGUGUUCAACCGGCAUUGCUUUGGCUGCUCCGUUCCUCUGCGCAGACCCUCGUGCCUUCCAACCCGCCACAGGUCUGUCCGAAUAAAGCUGGACGUUGUGUUUGGGUCUUGUGGGUUUCAUGGAAAGAUGCAUGUUUCCAUGCUCCUUCCCAAAGUGUGUGCUUGUGUUUGUGUUCUGUGUGUGCCUGCCUCUGCUCCAUCUCACCCGUAACCCCACCAUGUUCCCAUCACACCUGGUUCUUAUUUGCAUCUGAAAGAGGUUGGAGAAGGAAUGGAAGGCAGAGAGAAGGAUGAGAAGAAAGAAGGUGGAAAGAGAGCCCCCAAAGCAGAACAGGUCCUCUGGUCCCGUCUCCACUGCGCUCCAAGGACUCGCAUCUUCUCUCCCGGGGUCUUUGCAAGGACCUGCGCCCGUCUCCUCCAAUUUUCUGGUUAUUUGUGCAUCGGCCAUUGAGAAUUUCGCCACUUACUCAAGGCUGCAAACGCACGAGCCCUUCCUGUAUGAAAACUAGCAGGAAAAGCUGUGGUCUGAAACAGAAAUACAAACUGGUGAGCUCACCGUCCUACAUCAGAUUAAACAAAAAGAGCUACAAGAAGAAGGAAAUACAGUUUGGGGGGGUGCAGGUUUUCACAUUGCAUGUGCUCAGGAGCUGGCAGAAGACGUGCGUGGGGCUGGGACCCCCGCGGCACGCUAGGAAAUGUAGUUCCCCC